rnacentral:rRNA from 1 species
GUACACCNUCUGUUGCACAUAACGGUGUGAUCAUAUAACGGCACGAGGAAAAACAUUGCGUGUNCAUAAUCACCGGUGGAGUGGUGCUCCUCUGCGAGGGAAAAAAGUAUUUAUCGGGUCCAGAGGGAUGGAGGCCCGCGGUUGGAUUAAGCUAAGGUUGGUGGGGUAAAGGCCCUAACCUAAGGCGACAGAUCCGUUAGCCCGGAUCUGAAGAGGNUGAUCCUGCCGCAUUGGGNCUGAGACCCGGCCCAAACUCCAACGGGAGGCACACGCGGGGGAACUUUUGGGGCCUUGGGGCCCAAGCCCUGGAUU